rnacentral:lncRNA from 1 species
CCAAAAUAAGGACACUAAAUGCUCAUGAAUGAGCAAAACUGCCCCAUUUGCUAAAUUUCUCUUCCAGCGACUAUAUAGAAUUUAGAAUUGCACACACUUGGUUAUUUUGUGAGGUAUCACUGUUAUAGUGCUAUAGUGGGUUGUGUCAAAGCUUCUGAUAUAAUUUUAGAUUUUAAAAAAACCUAGAGUAGGCUAAUUACAGUCCAAAGGCCCACAUGGUUAGGCAAGACUCCUCCAGGAAAAGCUCUAUAGUUAGUCAUAGGCGAACUACUUAUAUCAAAGGCACUUUAGAUUCUGUCUUAGCUUUCACUUUAAUUGAGCUAUUAAUAUGCACUGUUGAGAUCUUAAAUUGAAACUCAAUAUGGUUUUCUUCAGACCUAAAAGAUGAUGGAAAAAGGCAAUAUGUACUUCUAAAUUUUCUGCACUUUGGGCUUCUGUUACUUAUUGCAUUAGAAGAGUGCAUGCCUUCCUCCUUAGCUAAAAGCUAGUUAUUUACGGACAAGGACCUUGGCUUACUCUUUCCAGUAUAUCCUAUAGUAGGCCCCACAAUAGCCUCUCUGAGGCAGAAACUAAUAAGUAUUCACUGAAUCACAAUAACAACAAUAAUAUCUAUAUCUGCCCGUG